GAUGAACGCUGGCGGCGUGCCUAACACAUGCAAGUCGAGCGAUUCUCUUCGGAGAAGAGCGGCGGACGGGUGAGUAACGCGUGGGUAACCUGCCCUGUACACACGGAUAACAUACCGAAAGGUAUGCUAAUACGAGACAAUAUACUUUUAUCGCAUGGUAGAAGUAUCAAAGCUUUUUCGGUACAGGAUGGACCCGCGUCUGAUUAGCUAGUUGGUACGGUAACGGCUUACCCAGGCGACGAUCAGUAGCCGACCUGAGAGGGUGAUCGGACACAUUGGAACUGGGACACGGUCCAAACUCCUAGGGGAGGCAGGAGUGGGGAAUAUUGCACAAUGGGCGAAAGCCUGAUGCAGCAACGCCGCGUGGGCGAUGAAGGCCUUCGGGUCGUAAAGCUCUGUCCUCAAGGAAGAUAAUGACGGUACUUGAGGAGGAAGCCCCGGCUAACUACGUGCCAGCAGCCGCCGUAA
rnacentral:rRNA from 1 species